CACGUAGGAGGCGAGCGUUGUCCGGAAUCACUGGGCUUAAAGCGUGUGUAGGCGGAUUGGUAAGUACCUUGUGAAAUCCCACGGCUUAACCGUGGAACUGCUUGGUAUACUGCUUAUCUUGGGCCACUUAGGGGCUACCGGAACAAACGGUGGAGCGGUGAAAUGCGUAGAUAUCGUUUGGAACGCCAAUGGUGAAAACA
rnacentral:rRNA from 1 species